UACUGAGCGGCGGACGGGUGAGUAACGCGUGGGUAACCUGCCUCAUACAGGGGGAUAACAGUUAGAAAUGACUGCUAAUACCGCNUAAGACCACAGCACCGCAUGGUGCAGGGGUAAAAACUCCGGUGGUAUGAGAUGGACCCGCGUCUGAUUAGUUAGUUGGUGGGGUAACGGCCUACCAAGGCGGCGAUCAGUAGCCGACCUGAGAGGGUGACCGGCCACAUUGGGACUGAGACACGGCCCAAACUCCUACGGGAGGCAGCAUG
rnacentral:rRNA from 1 species